CUGGAGUGCCCUCCGGGGCUUAUCCUUCAACCCUUUGAUGUUAUCGACAUUAUCUAUUCAUCUUUUGGUGGGUUCGCCCACCAAAAGGAAUCUCAAACUCGUUAAGAAUUUGUUAUCUUCUGAACUAUAUAUAAAUAAAUUA
rnacentral:misc_RNA from 1 species